GAUGAAGAACGCAGCGAAAUGCGAUAAGUAAUGUGAAUUGCAGAAUUCAGUGAAUCAUCGAAUCUUUGAACGCACAUUGCGCCCCCUGGUAUUCCGGGGGGCACGCCUGUUCGAGCGUCAUUUCAACCCUCAAGCCCCCGGCUUGACGUUGGGCGCGGCCCCUCCCUCGGGGGGGGCCCGCCUGAAACCCCACGGCGUCGCCGUCCGUCCCAGAGCGCAGCGAGUUUUCUGCCCGCGCUACUGGACCGGGCCGCUGGCCGCCGGUGAAUCCAUUUUCUCGAGGUUGACCUCGGAUCAGGUGGGGAUACCCGCUGAACUUAAGCAUAUCAAUAAGCGGAGGA
rnacentral:misc_RNA from 1 species